rnacentral:lncRNA from 1 species
GUUCCUAACAGGUGGCAGAGUUACAGUCAGCUUCUCUUCAGUUAUAGAACCAUUAUUUUAGGGCAUAUCCAGCCCUCCUAACUUAUUAAAUGAGGAGAAGGCUCAUUCCAGGGGACUGUCAUAGCAGGACAAGGAGACAUGGUUCAUGAAUGGAGCAAGUGGAAGAAGAUAAAGGUUGUCCCUGUCAAGUCAUUGGAGACAUCAGUUGGAGCAGAGCAGUGACUAUUUGAGAUGCCGACUCCAAAACACGUUUUUCAGGACUUAACAUUGCCACCUAGCCCGCCAACGAUCUUUACCACCUCUCCAACACCUUUCUCCUCUGUGGGUUCUGGGAAGGACCUGUUUACUGGGAUGGCAGCCAAGAGGAGAAGGGAAAAGAGCUGUGGGAUGAUCUCCAUGGCCAAAAACCCCUAGAAGGAGAAGCAU